CAACUCUUCUCUGUGCCACCCACCCUUCCCCAAGUCUCUUUACAUUUCUAAGCCCUUAUCAAGGGCCAUGGUGAAGCCAGCCGACUUUCACUUAUCAGACCUUGCUGCGAUAAGCAAACCCCAAUUACAAACCACUCAGACCGCAUAGGGGAAGGUUGUGGGAAGCAUAAACAAACUUUACCUACACCCUCCUGUAAUAAACGUCACAAGGUGAUAUGUGGCAAAAUUAACCAGCAAACAACCCCAGGAUGCGGCCAUACCAAAGAACUCCCUCAAGCUACUUUCCCCAAUAUAAACCCCUCAUUCUGUAAGCUUGGUGCUGCUUCCCUUGACUGUUAAGGGGUCAGCCGGCAGGUUAAUAAAAACUUGCUCGCCUGACUUUGGGUCUAUUUUUCCUUUCUCUUGGCUGACCUUACAUUCUGGUGCCGAAACCGGGAAGGGGAUAGACUCUGGCCGGCUCUCGCUCUCUGUCUCUCUCUCUCUCACUCUCUCUUUCUCUCUCUCUCUCCCCCUCCCUCCCCUAUCACCUAUCUCCUGGCCAGUCUCUCCCCUUCCCUGAACCUGCCGAAGUCCCAGAGAAUCUCCUAGACUCUCCCACUGCUGACGACUUCAUCCACCAUCAAAGCCUCCGCCAGGCUCCUCGGCCUAGCCACUGAAGACUGACAAGGCCCAGGGCCCCUGGCCCCCACUGCCAUCACUGCAUGGAGCCCAGUGUAACUCUACUGGUAGCAGUUUUUACAGGACCCUAUCAGCGCUUUCACCCACGGGACAAUACAAAAUAUGAUGCUGCUCCAGGAAUACCAGAGGCUCCAAGAACAGCAGUCCCUACCGUCCAGCCUUCCCCGACAACUGUCGCCCUCUCCCAGUAAGAAGCAGCCAGAUGAUAACAGCACCCCUCUUCCAUUACCUAUUAAAAGUCUGGCAUGAGAGGGACAACUGCCCCGAGAAAGCUUCUUUGUGCUGCCCACCCCUCCCCCAAUGCUCUGCAAUUCUUCUCCAUGCCGCCCACCCUUCCCCAAGCCUCUUUACGUUUCUAAGCCCUUAUGUAGUCGCUACGGUGAAGCCAACAGACUUCACUUAUCAGACCUUGCUGCGAUAAGCAAACCCCAAUAACAAACCAUCCAGACCGCACAGGGGGAGGUUGUGGGAAGCACAAACAAACUUUACUACACCCUCCUGUAAUAAAUGUCACAAGGUGAUAUGUGGCAAAAUUAACCAGCAAACAACCCUGGGAUGCAACCAUACCAAAAAACUCCCUCAAACUUCCCUCCCCAAUAUAAACCCCUCAUUCUGUAAGCUUGGUGCUGCUUCCCUUGACUAUUAAGGGGGCAGCCGACAGGUUAAUAAAAACUUGCUCACCUG
rnacentral:lncRNA from 1 species